AGAACGAACGCUGGCGGCAUGCCUAACACAUGCAAGUCGAACGAGACCUUCGGGUCUAGUGGCGCACGGGUGCGUAACGCGUGGGAAUCUGCCCUUCGGUUCGGAAUAACAGUUAGAAAUGACUGCUAAUACCGGAUAAUGACGUAAGUCCAAAGAUUUAUCGCCGAAGGAUGAGCCCACGUAAGAUUAGCUAGUUGGUGAGGUAAAGGCUCACCAAGGCUACGAUCUUUAGCUGGUCUGAGAGGAUGAUCAGCCACACUGGGACUGAGACACGGCCCAGACUCCUACGGGAGCAGCAGGUGGGGAAUAGUUGGACAAGUGGGG
rnacentral:rRNA from 1 species